AUGCGGGUAGCGUGGCCGAGCGGUCUA
rnacentral:piRNA from 2 species